rnacentral:rRNA from 1 species
UACGUAGGGGGCUAGCGUUGUCCGGAUUUAUUGGGCGUAAAGAGCGUGUAGGCGGCCAGGUAGGUCCGCUGUGAAAGUCCGAGGCUCAACCUCGGAAUGUCGGCGGAAACCCUCUGGCUAGAGUCCGGAAGAGGAGAGUGGAAUUCCCGGUGUAGCGGUGAAAUGCGCAGAUAUCGGGAAGAACACCCGUGGCGAAGGCGGCUUCCUGGGGCCAUCCUGACACUGAGAAGCGAAAGCUAGGGGAGCGAACGGG